rnacentral:rRNA from 1 species
UACGUAGGGGGCGAGCGUUGUCCGAAGUUACUGGGCGUAAAGCGCGCGUAGGCGGUCAUUUAAGUCCGGGGUGAAAGGUUCAGCGCUCAACGUGAACAGUGCCCUGGAGACUGGGUGACUUGAGUGUGGGAGAGGGCAGUGGAAUUCCUGGUGUAGCGGUGAAAUGCGUAGAUAUCAGGAGGAACACCAAUGGCGAAGGCAGCUCGCUGGGACGUGACUGACGCUGAGACGCGAAAGCGUGGGGAGCAAACAGG